rnacentral:rRNA from 1 species
UUAGCCCUAAACACAGAUAAUUACAUAAACAAAAUUAUUCGCCAGAGUACUACUAGCAACAGCUUAAAACUCAAAGGACUNGGCGGUGCUUUAUAUCCUUCUAGAGGAGCCUGUUCUAUAAUCGAUAAACCCCGAUAAACCUCACCAAUUCUUGCUAAUACAGUCUAUAUACCGCCAUCUUCAGCAAACCCUAAAAAGGAAAAAAAGUAAGCGUAAUUAUGAUACAUAAAAACGUUAGGUCAAGGUGUAACCUAUGAAAUGGGAAGAAAUGGGCUACAUUCUCUACACCAAGAGAAUCAAGCACGAAAGUUAUUAUNAAACCAAUAACCAAAGGAGGAUUUAGCAGUAA